CUGAAGGGGAUACUACACAAUGGUAAUCCAUACAGCUACUUCUCAUUAAAGAAAUCAAGCAGGACCAGAACUAACCCUUAAUUUUGGAGGAAGAUAUAAGAAAAAAAAAAAUAGAGGGAAAGCAAUAUGUGGCAGAGACAUACAGGAGGUUAACAAAUCAGUCUGAACCUUUGGGAAUCUGUAAGGAAUAGAAAGUAACAGAAAACAGGAGGUCAGAAAUCGUAUCACCCAUGAACUUCCAU
rnacentral:lncRNA from 1 species